rnacentral:tRNA from 1 species
GGGCCUUUAGCUCAUGCCGGUUAGAGCAGCGGGCUCAUAACCCGUUGGUGCCACGUUCAACUCGUGGAAGGCCCACCA